rnacentral:rRNA from 1 species
GACGAACGCUGGCGGCGUGCUUAACACAUGCAAGUCGAACGCUGAAGCUCAGCUUUUGUUGGGUGGAUGAGUGGCGAACGGGUGAGUAACACGUGAGUAACCUGCCCCCUUCUUUGGGAUAACGCCCGGAGACGGGUGCUAAUACUGGAUAUUCACUGGUCUUCGCAUGGGGGUUGGUGGAAAGGGUUUUUCUGGUGGGGGAUGGGCUCGCGGCCUAUCGGCUUGUUGGUGGGGUGAUGGCCUACCAAGGCUUUGACGGGUAGCCGGCCUGAGAGGGUGACCGGGCACAUUGGGACUGAGAUACGGCCCAGACUCCUACGGGAGGCAGCAGUGGGGAAUAUGGCACAAUGGGCGCAAGCCUGAUGCAGCGACGCCGCGUGAGGGAUGGAGGCCGUCGGGUUGUGAACCUCUUUCGCUCAUGGUCAAGCCGCAACAAUGGUUGUGGUGAGGGUAGUGGGUAAAGAAGCGCCGGCUAACUACGUG